rnacentral:rRNA from 1 species
CAGUCGCCGCGGGAAUACCGAGGAUGCAAGCGUUAUCCGGAAUGAUUGGGCGUAAAGCGCGCGUAGGCGGCUUGGUAAGUUAGAGGUGAAAGCCUGGGGCUCAACCCCAGAAUUGCCUUUAAGACUGCCGAGCUAGUAGGUGAGAGAGGUAAGUGGAAUUCCGAGUGUAGCGGUGAAAUGCGUAGAGAUGUGGAGGAACACCAGUGGCGAAGGCGACUCUCUGGUCUGUAACUGACGCUGAGGAGCGAAAGCGUGGGGAGCGAACAGGAUUAGAUACCCCCGUAGUCCCUGUCUCUUAUAC